rnacentral:tRNA from 1 species
GCUAAGAUGGCAGAGCCCGGUAAUUGCGAAAGGCCUAAGCCCUUUAACCCAGAGGUUCAAACCCUCUUCUUAGCC